UACAAUUGAUUAAAAAAAAACAAAACAUGAAAAAAACAAAACAAAACACUAUCAAACAACAACAAGAAUAAAUAAACGACUAAAGCAAAUAAAAUAAACAAAUGCUAAAUACAAUUUUCGGUGACUGACAGGACUGCACUCCGGGCGGUCACACCGCCAGACUACCGCGUUGCAAGAAUUGUUUGGUCAACAUCAGCGCCUGCCAGUGUCCCUGCUACUGCGACAUCGACUACAACAUUUGCGACGACAGCUUUCAGCAUCUGGACAGAGCCACCUUCCCCAUCUCGCCCUGUUACGAGGAACCUGUUGUACGUACCCUCACGGACCGGUGGAGCGAGCACGCGGUUACCAGGGGUUCCACUGUGCGGUCUUCAGUGUCCUGCCUUCGAGACCCAAGGAGGCGUGUAGGGGAGCUGCCGACAGGUGUCGCUGGAACGACGAUGACGUGUUUCCGGUCUGCGAGUCGCUGCAGACGACAGCGAUGGCGUCCUCGCCAACACGUCCGACUGCACAACCAUCUACAUCUUCAACCUCAACGACACUGACGACCUCGGGAGCUUCUACCACCACCGUGACCGCAGCGACAGACAACACGAUAAGCUGUAUAGAGUGCCUUUCUGCGCAUGCGCCGCAGAGCAGAAAAACGAAGACUGACUUGUCAGCGGGUGUCAUCGCCGGUAUUGUCAUUGGAAUCGUCUUCCUCGUGGGGUGUCUCGCAACUGCUGGCUUCAAGUUCUCUCGCCGACCACCCCUCUUCAGAAACUGCGGAAGAAAGGGCUUUGAGACAGCGAGGAAUUUUGACAACGCCGUCUACAGCCCCUCCCACGACAAGGUGCAGCUAGCCAUAAACCCGGUCUCCCCCUCGGACAUGACCCAGCCGACAACUACUACCACCACCACAUCCCCAGCCAGCCAAAUGACGUCACCAUCCGACCACGCCGUGUAUUAUUUAUAAACGUAAAUAAUUUAUAAAUGUGAUGCUCUCUUCCACUGGUAGACUGAUGAACAAAGGCGUCACAUCAAAGGAGACGAGCCACUCGUGUAUUUGAACAGUUUUGGGGACAAAGGUCAGUGUUUCCAAUGCGAUCUUCCGUUCUUACCGCAAGAGACUUACCCAGACUUCCAGAAGAAUCUUGAAUUAAAAUUGCAUAAAGCUAGUUUUGAAUCCAAUUCCAUUCACACAC